rnacentral:rRNA from 1 species
AUUGAACGCUGGCGGCAGGCUUAACACAUGCAAGUCGAGCGGAGCGAGGGUGCUUGCACCUUAGCUUAGCGGCGGACGGGUGAGUAAUGCUUAGGAAUCUGCCUAUUAGUGGGGGACAACAUUCCGAAAGGGAUGCUAAUACCGCAUACGCCCUACGGGGAAAAGCAGGGGAUCUUCGGACCUUGCGCUGAUAGAUGAGCCUAAGUCGGAUUAGCUAGUUGGUGGGGUAAAGGCCUACCAAGGCGACGAUCUGUAGCGGGUCUGAGAGGAUGAUCCGCCACACUGGGACUGAGACACGGCCCAGACUCCUACGGGAGGCAGCAGUGGGGAAUAUUGGACAAUGGGCGGAAGCCUGAUCCAGCCAUGCCGCGUGUGUGAAGAAGGCCUUUUGGUUGUAAAGCACUUUAAGCGAGGAGGAGGCUACUAGUAUUAAUACUACUGGAUAGUGGACGUUACUCGCAGAAUAAGCACCGGCUAACUCUGUGCCAGCAGCCGCAGUAAAAC